rnacentral:rRNA from 1 species
AGAGUUUGAUCCUGGCUCAGGAUGAACGCUAGCGGCAGGCUUAACACAUGCAAGUCGAGGGGCAGUAUAAUGGAUAGCAAUAUCUAUGGUGGCGACCGGCGCACGGGUGCGUAACGCGUAUGCAACCUACCUUUAACAGGGGGAUAACACUGAGAAAUUGGUACUAAUACCCCAUAAUAUCAUAGAAGGCAUCUUUUAUGGUUGAAAAUUCCGAUGGUUAGAGAUGGGCAUGCGUUGUAUUAGCCAGUUGGUGGGGUAACGGCUCACCAAGGCGACGAUACAUAGGGGGACUGAGAGGUUAACCCCCCACACUGGUACUGAGACACGGACCAGAAUCCUACGGGAGGCAGCA